UCUUAAUUUCUUGAUAUUUCAAAAUGACAACUUCAAUCUGCUUAUAGAUUCUCUCACGGGAAACUGCAAUAUCGAAAAUAAUGAGCUUAGCAAAAUUAUAAAAGGGAUGCAUCUUUUACCCAAACACUAUAGCUAAAUAUGAUUACGCUUACUAAAAGGGAUAAAAAUGAUGGCAUAAGGUGCAUUCAACGAUCAAAAGUGGAUCAUGAUACACUCUUUGUUGGAAACUGUGAACGGAGUACAUGGCUACAAAUACUGGAAGUGAACUUAACAAUGAUCUGAUGUGUUAGGCUCGAAUAGUAUCUAUAUCUGUUUAUCUAAC
rnacentral:lncRNA from 1 species